rnacentral:misc_RNA from 1 species
UACUCUUCUGCCUUGGUGGUGUUGAGGGCAUGCAUAGUUGUAUAGUAUCUUUGAUUUCAAGAAAAUGCAAAAAUUGUGUGCAAAAGAAAGUAAAUUUACCUCUUUUGGGGGAAACUUCUAUUGUCUCGCUUGUUGUAUUAUGUUGCUGUCUGGCAUUUGCUAUUUUCUGGAUCGUGAAUCGGCGGACAUCAUAUUCGUGGAUUGGGCAAGAUAUUCUUGGUAUCUGCUUGAUGAUAACUGUCUUGCAGGUGGCUAGACUGCCAAAUAUUAAGGUUGCUGCUGUACUUCUGUGUUGCGCAUUCGUUUAUGACAUCUUUUGGGUCUUUCUAUCCCCAAUAAUUUUCCAUCAAAGUGUUAUGAUUGCUGUGGCUCCAGGGGACAACAGUGGGGGGGGAUCUAUUUGGAUCUAUUCCGAUGCUUUUGAGAAUUCCUCGAUUUUCUGAUCCUUGGGGUGGUUAUGACAUGAUUGGAUUUGGGGACAUUCUUUUUCCUGGUUUGCUUGUAUCAUUUUCUAGGAGAUAUGAUAGAACAAAUCGGAGAUAUGAUAGAGCAAAUAAGAAGAGCGGGUCCAGCGGAUAUUUUCCUUGGUUGACAAUUGGCUA